AAUUUUUCAUUUGCAUUGUAUAAUUUCCAUUUGUAUUGUGUAAUUUUCCAUUUGUAUUCUAUAUUUUCCAUUUGUAUUGUAUAAUUUUCCAUUUGUAUUCUAUAUUUUCCAUUUGUAUUAUAUAUUUUUUUCGUUUGCAUUGUAUAAUUUCCAUUUGCAUUGCAAAAUCUUUCAUUUAUAUUGCAUCCGAGGGAUUGUUUAUUUUGAUUUGUUACGAAGGAUUUCAUUAGUUUAGGUCCCACUUAUAUUUAGCCGUCACCAGGUGACGUACCACAAAUAGACUUACUAUGCUACAUGUAUGGGCACAGUGGCGUAACAUGGGGGUACUUUAACGUGUCAACACCUGUCGAUAUUUACGUCUAAGGUUUGAUGCAGCCAUGAAACGAGUAGAACUCGAACAUGCAACUUCACAGUUAUGAACCAAAGGGCAUAUCACUGAACUACCGCGAUCGGUUCCAUAUAGGACUAGUUGAACAUACAUGUAGCCAGCAAUGAGGAAUCUUGCGCCGGGAGACACCCCCCCCCCCCCCCUCCCUUCACAAAUGAUAUUUUAUAUACAGAUGUCGAAAAAAGCAUGCAUGUACGUUUUAUUUUGUCAGAACGCACUUGUCCAGGGGACUUCCAGGGGCGGAUCCAGGAAUAGCCGUGUUUCGAGUUACUCCGGAACACAGUGUUUAUUCUGUGUUUAGUCACGCCGCGUCAAAAAUGUUCCACAGGGUUACUUCCGGUUUAUCGUUGUUUACCAACAGUCGACACUUCGUGUAUUAGGCCUAGGCUUAAUUUUGUCGAUCAUCAUGAAAUUGAAAUACAAAUUUAAUAGUUUGGGGUGUAUGCGGUACAUAUUUGUUUAUGAGCGUUUGAUAAGCUACUAUUGAUCUACGAAAUACAACGAAAGACUUCGUCAAGAACAGAAGAAGACGAUGCAUGUCGUGUAACUCACACAAGGCCCAGCUGUCUAGUAACCGGAGGGGUAAAGGAAAAGAACGUAUUAGACUCACUGAAACCUGUCAAACAGGUAUAUGGGAACAGGAUCAUUUUCCAUGCCUUUCACUUGAGGUCUUCAGUUUCAUCAUUAAUCAUCUGAAUGUCGGUAUGCCAAACUCUCAUGAUGUCAUGCCAUUACUGGAUAUUCCUUAACAGUGGUUUAUUUAAGCCACACUACCUAUAACAUUGCCAAAAUAUUUGACUGAAAAUUUUCAAAUACACAAGAUUUGAAGCAGCAAAAGAAAAGAAUUACAUAUGUAUAACACACAAAAAAGAAGAAAUUAAUUCUCACCUGGCUGAUAUGAACUUUUUACUCCUUUUUAGCUCCCUUUCACUGCAUACCAGCCAAUAACUAGCAGUCAUUAUAUGCAGAUCAGCCAUUGUUAUCAACCUGUGUAUAUAUAUGUUGAAUGAAAUAUGAAUGAAAA